CCUACGGGGUGCACCAGUGGGGAAUAUUGCACAAUGGGCGCAAGCCUGAUGCAGCCAUGCCGCGUGUGUGAAGAAGGCCUUCGGGUUGUAAAGCACUUUCAGCGGGGAGGAAGGCGAUAAGGUUAAUAACCUUGUCGAUUGACGUUAUCCGCAGAAGAAGCACCGGCUAACUCCGUGCCAGCAGCCGCGGUAAUACGGAGGGUGCAAGCGUUAAUCGGAAUUACUGGGCGUAAAGCGCACGCAGGCGGUCUGUCAAGUCGGAUGUGAAAUCCCCGGGCUCAACCUGGGAACUGCAUUCGAAACUGGCAGGCUAGAGUCUUGUAGAGGGGGGUAGAAUUCCAGGUGUAGCGGUGAAAUGCGUAGAGAUCUGGAGGAAUACCGGUGGCGAAGGCGGCCCCCUGGACAAAGACUGACGCUCAGGUGCGAAAGCGUGGGGAGCAAACAGGAUUAGAUACCCCAGUAGUC
rnacentral:rRNA from 1 species